rnacentral:lncRNA from 1 species
CUUUUCUCCACCUCUCCAGAUUCCCUCUUUCUCUGCUAGUGGAUGGCUAGGGAAGGUGGGCCGAGGGGUGAGGACUGGAGGGAAGGGUAGAUAGGGUAUGCUGAGAGCCUUUUUUAUUCCACAGGAAAGCAUGUACCUCAGGGCUCGGUGGGACUCAUGGUGGCAAUCAUUUACCAGGAAGACCCAUUCUCCAGUUGGUCACAGCUUGUUUUGUUCAAAUGAGCAUACAUUUACCGAGGGCUCACUAUGUGUCGGGCUUCGGGAUGGUACACAAAGAUAAGAAGACGUGGCUCCUGGCCUGGUGCAGUAUCUGGGAUUGGCAUGAAGGGAUGUCUGUUGAGCGGCGGUUGUAGGAGACAUUUCUUUGCCCCAAGGAAAAGCUAGAAAAUUUGAUCUCUUUCUUCUCCGGGAUCUGGUCAUGUGGACAUGUGACUCUGGGAUCUGUGAAGCCUUGUUGCUGCCAGUUGGAGGAUGAAGCCAACACUGAGGAGGCCGAGCAGGAUGAGGGAUCUAUCUCCUUGAUCCUGCCAUUGAGCCAUGGACCCACUGCCUUGAAGCUGCAUCUCUGGACUUUACACUGCGUGAAAUAAUACAUAUCUUUAAUGUUUAAGCCAUUUUAGUUGUGUUUUCUAUUACUUUAGCUAAAAGUACCAUUACUAAUACUGAUGUCUCUGCUUUCAGCGAUGCAUCCCAAAAGCAGUGGGAGGAUUAAAAAAAUAUUCUGUAAUCGCAAUGAAUUGGGGAAGGAAUUUUCUCCUCUUGUAAGAAAGAAUUACUUCCUAAAAAGUUUCUCAGAAGCCAUUUUUUGGAAUGUAACUCUAAAACCUUUCUUAAAAUAG